rnacentral:rRNA from 1 species
UACGUAGGGGGCAAGCGUUGUCCGGAAUCAUUGGGCGUAAAGAGCGUGUAGGCGGCCAGAAAAGUCCGCUGUGAAAACUCGAGGCUCAACUUCGAGCUGUCGGUGGAAACUUUCUGGCUAGAGUCCGGAAGAGGAGAAUGGAGUUCCUGGUGUAGCGGUGAAAUGCGCAGAUAUCAGGAGGAACACCGGUGGCGAAGGCGGGUCUCUGGGCCGUAACUGACGCUGAGGAGCGAAAGCAUGGGGAGCGAACAGG